rnacentral:sRNA from 1 species
AACAUCUAAAACAAUGAAAGCCCAACCUCUCUUUCAUCGUUGCGGCUCCGAAGACCGCGCCACCAGAAUUAGUUAUUUAAAAAAGUA